AUGAACUCUGGUUGUAUAUCGAACUGCAUCAACGAUGCACGUGACCCACGUGUUCCGAUGAGAGGUAGCUACGUGAACCUCUACAAGUGGCCGGAAUCAGAUGCUGCUUUUGUGAGGUCAGUGAGUUCCGGCAGAGAGCAUCCGAAGGUGGUGGAUAGCAUUUCUUGCAGACAAUUGUAUCUGAGAAGCUACACGUUUUGCAGAGAAGAUGAGAAGAAGAAGAAAGUGAAGGUGAAUACGAAGAAACGUGUGGUUGUUAAGAAGAAAAUUUUGGGUGGGAAGAAAGAUAAAAAGAGUUCAUGUUCUGUUUGGUUUGGUAUUUUUCGAAGGUUCUUGUCUUGCUGUGCUAGUGUUGAUGUUUGUGGAUGA